UUAAGUUCAGCGGGUAUCCCUACCUGAUCCGAGGUCAACCUUAAAAAAUUGGGGGUUGUUGGCAAGCACACAACCGGGUCUCCAGAGCGAGAAGAAUUACUACGCUCGGAGCCGGAAGGCACCGCCACUGACUUUAGGGCCCGCCAGAACUGGCGGGGCCCAAUACCAAGCAGAGCUUGAGGGUUGUAAUGACGCUCGAA
rnacentral:misc_RNA from 1 species